GACGGGACCGCACAAGCGUGGAUGAUGUGGAUUAAUUCGAUGCAACGCGAAAACCUUACCUACCCUUGACAUGCUAGGAACUUGCCAGAGAUGGCUUGGUGCCCGAAGGGAACCUAGACACAGGUGCUGCGUGGCUGUCGUCAGCUCGUGUCGUGAGAUGUUGGGUUAAGUCCCGCAACGAGCGCAACCCUUGUCAUUAAUUGCCAUCAUUCAGUUGGGCACUUUAAUGAGACUGCCGGUGACAAACCGGAGGAAGGUGGGGAUGACGUCAAGUCCUCAUGGCCCUUAUGGGUAGGGCUUCACACGUAAUACAAUGGUCGGUACAGAGGGUUGCCAACCCGCGAGGGGGAGCCAAUCCCAGAAAACCGAUCGUAGUCCGGAUUGUAGUCUGCAACUCGACUGCAUGAAGUCGGAAUCGCUAGUAAUCGCGGAUCAGCAUGUCGCGGUGAAUACGUUCCCGGGCCUU
rnacentral:rRNA from 1 species